AUGGCCAUAAGACAUUGAAACACCGGCUCCCAUAUGAUCACUGAAGUUAAGCAACAUCAAGUCUGGUCAGUACCUAGAUGGGUGAGCAUUUGGGAAUAUCAGAUGCCGUUA